rnacentral:lncRNA from 10 species
AGCAGUAGCAACUUACGGUCCCCUUUCAUGCUGUGGUAGCUUUGUUCUUUCUCUCUUCACAGUAAAUCUUGCUGCUGCUCACUCUCUGGGUCUGCACUACCUUUAUGAGCUGUAACACUGUGAAGGUCUGCAGCUUCACUCCUGAAGCCAGCGAGACCAUGAACCCACCGGGAGGAACAAACAACUCCUGACGCGCCACCUUUAAGAGCCCUAACACUCACUGCAAAGGUCUGCAGCUUCGCUCCUGAAGUCAGAAAGACCACGAACCCACCGGGAGGAACAAACAACUCUGGACGCACCACCUUUAAGAGCUGUAACACUCACUGCGAAGGUCUGCGGCUUCACUCCUGAAGUCAAGCAAGACCACAAACCCACCGGAAGGAAAAAACUCCAGACACAUCUGAACAUCUGAAGGAACAAACUCCAGACAUACCAUCUGUAAGAACUGUAACACUUACCGCGAGGGUCCGCGGCUUCAUUCUUGAAGUCAGCCAGACCAAGAACCCACCGGGAGGAACCAAUUCCGGACACAGUAUGGUUGGUCCACAAGAGAGGAGCUCUUGGUAAUCUCUCAGAAAUAGAGCAAGACGCCAAAGAUAAAGGCCUGUUCAUCGCACUCAGGAAUUUCCUAAGGUUUCAUGUCCAG